rnacentral:lncRNA from 1 species
GUUUCCUCCCAGCAUCUUGGCUCGGAUCUCUGACCGGAUCCGAGCCUCGUAGAGCUGCUUCUCUUGGUCUAAGAGCUUGUUCUCUUUCUCUCUGGCUUUCUUCUCGUGCAUGCGUUUCCAUUGCCACUUGUUGAGACCUCCCGGGAAGGUUCUGGGACCGCCGCCCAUGUUACGAGAGAGGAUUAGGCUCCAUAUGGAUCCGGAUCGUUCCCGGAGAAUCGUUGAGUACAUUUCCGGUGAGUGACGCUAGAAGAAAAGAAACAGAGUGAAGGAAGGUUUUAGCCUUUUUAGGGUUUAAGGUUGUAAUUGUAAAGCGCUUCAGUGAUGUUAUCCGGUUUAGUUUUCAUGAAAGAAUCGGUAUGUAAUUGAACCGGUAGGAAAAAUAAUUAGUUAUGCUAUUGUGUCGAACCCUUGGCUGAUCGGUUUUAAAAGAACCUAUUUUGAUGUCAAUUCCUUAGUUGGUUAGCCUUUCCAGCCCGGUUUCAUGAGACUUAGAUCUCUAAUUUAACCGGGAAAAACUAAACUGUUUGGUUAUGUUUUAGGCAUUAAUUAGCCAACCAAAAUCUCAUUUACAAAGAUUUUAGCAGUCUUUUUAACCUCACCUUUUUUUUUAACCUCACUUUCAUUAUCUCUGAUGAAUAAAACCUAGAAUUUUGAAAAACUCCAUCAAAUUUUGAUUUGUUAGUUCCAUCUGUUUAUAAGUUCAUUGAUUACAUAGUAAAAAAGCAUGAAGAGAAGUUGUUCUUGUGCCUCUCUAGACAGUCAUCUUCCAAAACAAUGGUUGUGGAGUGAAUAAGGGAACAUUUCAAUAACAAGUAAAGAAAGAAAAAAGACAUAAUCAAGAACCAUUAUUCUGGAGUGUAAACUUCUGCUUACAUCGUCACUGCCGCAGCCUAUAUAGCUUCACCCAAAAAUUGUAAUAGACAAGACAUUACUAUAGAGUUGCAGAAACAAAACAAACAAACAUAAAAAGCUCGAAACUUUCACUCAUUAUUACAACUGGAUCAGUGGAAAUUCACUAGAUUCGACAGAACCAUAACCCAGAAACUAAUUAGACAAACCAAAUUCAAAGAAUGAAGAGAUCAAAUGCAACUCUGAGAACUAAGAUAGAGAGACAGGGAGGUCCUGUGUUUUAAAAGGCGAUCGCCUUUUGCGCCAAGGCGCAAGGCGCACCGUGGCAAUGGUCCCAGCGCCUCAGUCCUCUAAGGCGAGCCCUAGUUCCUCAAGGCGCUCGCCAUGGUGCGCCAUUGGCUUAAAUAUAAGCGCCUUGGUUCAAAGGCGCGCGUUUCCGUUAAAACACUACUUUGACGGAACCCUUAAAACAUCUUGGAACUCUAUCACUACUUUCUCGACCAUUUAAAUAUCCUUAAAACAUAAUGCUUAGAUCUUCAGAGUUUUAGGUUUUGUUGGAUUUGAUCAAUUGAAUUUAGUUUUUUUUGUUUCAAGUUCUUUGUUUUGGUAGACCAUCUCCAAUGUAUUUCUCUAUUUUUACCUCUAAAAUAGAGGAACUCUAUAAUAGAGAUGGGUUUUACUCCAAUGUAUUUCUCUAAAAUAGAGAUCUCUAUAUAUAGAGCAAAAUAUAGAGGAAUGCUAUUUCUUCCCCUAUAAAUAGAGGAAAAAAUAGCAAUCUCUAUUUUAGAGGCAAAAAUAGAGAUGGGUUGGAGUGAUUUUGCCUCUAAAUGCUAUUAUAGAGGUAGAAAUAAAGGUGGGUUGGAGAUGCUCUUAGGGCGAACCUCUAGAUUCACCAACCAAUAUGAUUGUUUUAUUUUAUAUUCGAUAUCUUUUAAAAAAGGAAACAAAAUAUUGUCAAAUUAUAUUAUGUUUUUAAAAUUAAAAGGUAAAAAAAUAGUAGUAAUUACAAAAAAAAAUUUUACGUCAUCAGCAUAACAUUAAACUCUAAAUCAUAAUCCCUAAACCCUUAAUCCUAAACCCUUGGAUAAACCCUAAACUCUAUGAUAAAUCCUCUAAAUCAAAAUCACUAUACACUAAAACAUUCAAGGGUUUAGGGUUUUAAUGUUUUUUAUUUAGAGUUUAGGAUUUAUCCAAAGGUUUAGGGUUUUAGUGUUUUUUAUUUAGAGUUUAGGAUUUAUUCAAGGGUUUACGGUUUACCCAAAGGUUUAGGGUUUACCCAAAGAUUUAGGGUUUAGAAUUUAGGGUUUAUGGAUUAAGAUUUAGGGCUUAGUGUUUUGUUGACAAUGUUAAAAAUAUAUAUUUUUUUUAUUUUUUUUUCUGUAAUUAUUAUCUUUUUUUACCUUUUUAUUUUUAAAACAUAAUAUAAUUUGAGAAUAUUUUGUUUACUUUUUUAAAAGAUAUCGAAUUUGAAAUAAUGAAAUUCUAUUGGUUGGUGAACCUAGAAGUUCAUUGUAAGGAGUGAACCCAAGAAUAACUCUUCUGUGAUUUUCUAAUAAUAGCAAUAGUUGAAAACAUUCAACAAUUAAAAAUGACAAUAUCACAUUUAUAUUUUCGAAUUCAAAACUUAACAUUUAACAAAUAAAAUAAUGAAAAUUAAUAAAUUUUGUAUUCAACUCUUACAUAACCCACAUCUUUCACAGUCAAUUUUGAUACAUUGGAGGAGAUGAUAAUGUAAAUCAUCAAAACCCGGUUCGGUUUAUUUUCGAAUUGGAAUACCGGAAAUGCCUUUGAGACCCAUCUUAACCGCGGUUUUACGGAACAAAGGAGGAGGUUUCUCUAAACCAAUAGAAUAACAAAACCGAUUAGCUAACUCAGCCAACGUGGUUUUAUCCCUACCGGUUUCUCGAACCGAAUUGUAGUAACCCAGCCAAGCAUGGUAUGCUGCUUCUUUGAUACUUGUAUCAAUCUUACCCAUUGACUGAUCAACCUGCUCACACAAAAACGAUACUCAUUAUCAAUGUCCGGUUAGAAGUACCAACACAGUAACAAGAACUCAAAACAAACCUCAAGUUUAAAUCUUGAAUCAAGAUCAGGAACUGGAACUGGUUCAAUUGGCAAAUCUUUAAGCUCAUCAAGAAAGUAUCUCUCCCAUGGAGCAAUCAAAAGCAACCCUUUGCCUCCUUUGCCUUCUCUCCCGGUUCUACCAAGCCUAUGUAUAUACUGUUCUCUAUCACUCGGUAUACCGACCUAUACCAACAACAUGAUAACCAAGUUUUGAUAAGAGAUUGUUCUUGAUAUGAAACAAGUUUAGCCUGUGUGCUUUACCUGAAUAACCAAAGUAACAUCUGGAUAGUUCAUUCCACGGGCAGACACAUCAGACGUGACAAGAAUCAGUCUUUUGGAUUCUUUGAACUCGUCUGACACACGUGUUCUAUGGAGCUGAGGUUUUCUAGCGUGAAUCUCCCUAACGUUUAGCUUCAUUUCCCGGAGCAGAGUGUACAUCAGUGAUGUUACCAUACCGGUUGAACAGAACACUAUUAUCUGAGAGAAUGAAAUUGAAUAGUUGAGAAUAUUGUAAAUGUUAGGACAUGAGAAAGUGGUUGUUUACCUUAUAAUCGACUGUGUUGUUGAUGUGCUCUUUCAAAAGAUGAGGUACUAAGUGGAAAUGAGAUUCGUGUGGAGCAACAAGACAAGACUGCUUCACCUGAGAAACCAAAGAGCAAGAAACUCAAUAACCAGACCCAAGAAUCAGGCUUUUAAGACAAAAAAAAAAAGAAGAGUUUAUGAGUUACCUUAUCAUGUGUCUCUACACAACCGAGACCAAUUGUGUCGAUAUAUGAGUGAUCUCUUUUCAAAACAAGCUGAGAUACUCGACGGACCUCUUUAGGAAUGGUUGCAGAAAAGAGAAGAGAUUGUCUUUGACGAGGCAAACAAUCUAUGAUCUUUUCGACAUCCCUCCUGAAUCCUAAGUCUAGCAAGAGAUCAGCCUCGUCGACUACAAACAACUUAAGCGCCAUCAAACGUGACGUUAUGUUAGACUUAUUCUCUAUAUGAUCCAAAAGCCUUCCCGGAGUUGCAAUCAGUAUCUGCAACAAAGAUAACAAGAUUAGCCACAACGAGUAUAACACAAAGGAAUCAUGAGCGGUCAAACCUGGCACGGAUCGGACUGUAGGCGUUGCUGGUCAAGUUUGAACCUGGUACCUCCAAUCAGAGUCUGAACACCGAUUCCUUCAUGGUAUUUGAGCAGAGCCUUGCCUUCUGCAGCUAUCUGGCUUGCAAGUUCUCUUGUGGGGCAGAGGAUAAGAACGAGUAUUGGAGGAACUCUGUGAACGCCGUUGCUGAUUUCCAUAGCUUUCAGAACUGUUUCAAUUGCAGGAAGCUGUUUUUCUCAAUUUAACAGCGUUAUCUAAAGAAACAACAAAAAGCUAAUGCUCAUCAUAUAGGAACAAGGGAUUGUGAAAUACCAAAAAGGCCAUGCUUUUCCCUGUUCCGGUUUUGGCUUUGACCAAUGCAUCUUGACCUGCUUUACAUAAAGAAUGGUCAAUUAAGCACAAAGAGCAAUCAAGAUACGAACAAGAAGGAUACAUACCCUCGAAGCACUCAGAGAGGGUGGCAUCUUGUACUCUAGUCAUCUUAACAAUGCCAGAAGCAGAAAGAGCCUUCAGAGUCAAAGGAGAUAUACUAGACUCAUCAAAUCUGCAAAACAAAAAACCACAUCAAGAUCCAAACAUGACGAACUAAAAGCCUUACACAGUGUGUUAACAUACCUUCUUCCACUGUAAAUUGAGUCACUUGGCUCUCCAUCCACCUCCAUUACAUUUUCCACAGACUUUCUUUUACUAAGAUCAUCUCUAACGUCGUUGAUAUCCAAAGGAGGAUAAAGCUCUUCAUCAGUGACAUUCCUUUGCACUCUUUUAAUAAGUUUGAAAUCAUGGUUCCCUAACGACGCACUGCUCCCUGUUCUCCUCACAUCCAUCCACCCAUUCAUCUUCCCAUCUUCCUCCUCGGAAUCUUCUUCAGUGGAGCUAUCGUUCUUCCUAAACUUCCUCCUCCCAAACAAACCUUUGUUCCUCAUAACAUUACUCACACUCUUCACUUUCUCCUUCUUACCAGCAAACCCAGAAGAAAAAGGACUCAAAGUAUCAAACUUUUUAGAAUCAAAAUCCUCUCCUUCAUCACAAGAACUCUCAUUUCUCUUAAACCUACCUCUAUGACUCAUACUCGAAAAACCUCUCCUACCAUUACCCAUUACCAUACUCCUCACAUCAAUUGGCGAAUUUGACCGUGACCCUCCAUGAUUCAAUCUCGGCCCUUGAUUCGUUUUCUUAACAGGUCCAUCGUCUUCGUUCCACAGAUCCUCAGCUCCGGCUUUCAUAAACCGAUCAGCCAAGGAUUUGAUAUGUUCUUGGGGACUCAACGGUCCGUGGCUCUGAUUCGAUUUCGCCUUUGUUUCGUUUGAAUCGUGGUUUCCUCCCAGCAUCUUGGCUCGGAUCUCUGACCGGAUCCGAGCCUCGUAGAGCUGCUUCUCUUGGUCUAAGAGCUUGUUCUCUUUCUCUCUGGCUUUCUUCUCGUGCAUGCGUUUCCAUUGCCACUUGUUGAGACCUCCCGGGAAGGUUCUGGGACCGCCGCCCAUGUUACGAGAGAGGAUUAGGCUCCAUAUGGAUCCGGAUCGUUCCCGGAGAAUCGUUGAGUACAUUUCCGGUGAGUGACGCUAGAAG